rnacentral:tRNA from 1 species
CUAUCGGGCCCAUACCCCGAAAAUGAUGGUUCAACCCCUUCCCCUACUA